rnacentral:rRNA from 1 species
AACGAACGCUGGCGGCAGGCUUAACACAUGCAAGUCGAACGCAUCGCAAGAUGAGUGGCAGACGGGUGAGUAACGCGUGGGAACAUACCCUUUUCUACGGAAUAGCUCUGGGAAACUGGAAUUAAUACCGUAUACGCCCUACGGGGGAAAGAUUUAUCGGGGAAGGAUUGGCCCGCGUUGGAUUAGCUAGUUGGUGGGGUAAAGGCCUACCAAGGCGACGAUCCAUAGCUGGUCUGAGAGGAUGAUCAGCCACAUUGGGACUGAGACACGGCCCGAACUCCUACGGGCGGCAGCAGUGGGGGAUAUUGGCCAAUGGGCGCAAGCCUGAUCCAGCCAUGCCGCGUGAGUGAUGAAGGCCUUAGGGUUGUAAAGCUCUUUCACCGAUGAAGAUAAUGACGGUAGUCGGAGAAGAAGCCCCGGCUAACUUCGUGCCAGCCGCCGCCGUAACAC